rnacentral:rRNA from 1 species
AUCCGUAGCUGGUCUGAGAGGAUGAUCAGCCACACUGGAACUGAGACACGGUCCAGACUCCUACGGGAGGCAGCAGUGGGGAAUAUUGGACAAUGGGCGCAAGCCUGAUCCAGCCAUACCGCGUGGGUGAAGAAGGCCUUCGGGUUGUAAAGCCCUUUUGUUGGGAAAGAAAUCCAGCCGGCUAAUACCUGGUUGGGAUGACGGUACCCAAAGAAUAAGCACCGGCUAACUUCGUGCCAGCAGCCGCGGUAAUACGAAGGGUGCAAGCGUUACUCGGAAUUACUGGGCGUAAAGCGUGCGUAGGUGGUUGUUUAAGUCUGUUGUGAAAGCCCUGGGCUCAACCUGGGAACUGCAGUGGAAACUGGACAACUAGAGUGUGGUAGAGGGUAGCGGAAUUCCCGGUGUAGCAGUGAAAUGCGUAGAGAUCGGGAGGAACAUCCAUGGCGAAGGCAGCUACCUGGACCAACACUGACACUGAGGCACGAAAGCGUGGGGAGCAA